rnacentral:rRNA from 1 species
AUUGAACGCUGGCGGCAGGCCUAACACAUGCAAGUCGAACGGUAACAGGAAGCAGCUUGCUGCUUCGCUGACGAGUGGCGGACGGGUGAGUAAUGUCUGGGAAGCUGCCUGAUGGAGGGGGAUAACUACUGGAAACGGUAGCUAAUACCGCAUAAUGUCGCAAGACCAAAGAGGGGGACCUUCGGGCCUCUUGCCAUCGGAUGUGCCCAGAUGGGAUUAGCUUGUUGGUGGGGUAACGGCUCACCAAGGCGACGAUCCCUAACUGGUCUGAGAGGAUGACCAGCCACACUGGAACUGAGACACGGUCCAGACUCCUACGGGAGGCAGCAGUGGGGAAUAUUGCACAAUGGGCGCAAGCCUGAUGCAGCCAUGCCGCGUGUAUGAAGAAGGCCUUCGGGUUGUAAAGUACUUUCAGCGGGGAGGAAGGGAGUAAAGUUAAUACCUUUGCUCAUUGACGUUACCCGCAGAAGAAGCACCGGCUAACUCCGUG